GAGGGUAUAGCUCAAGUGGUAGAGCACGUGCUUAGCAUUCACGAGGUCCUGGGUUCAAUCCCUAGUACCUCCU
rnacentral:tRNA from 1 species